AGAGUUUGAUCCUGGCUCAGGACGAACGCUGGCGGCGUGCCUAAUACAUGCAAGUCGAGCGGAACCAGUGGAGCUUGCUCCACUUGGUUUAGCGGCGGACGGGUGAGUAACACGUGGGCAACCUGCCCUGCAGAUCGGGAUAACUCCGGGAAACCGGUGCUAAUACCGAAUAGUUUGCGGCCUCUCCUGAGGCUGCACGGAAAGACGGUUUCGGCUGUCACUGCAGGAUGGGCCCGCGGCGCAUUAGCUAGUUGGUGGGGUAAUGGCCCACCAAGGCGACGAUGCGUAGCCGACCUGAGAGGGUGAUCGGCCACACUGGGACUGAGACAUGGCCCAGACUCCUACGGGAGGCAGCAGUAGGGAAUCUUCCGCAAUGGACGAAAGUCUGACGGAGCAACGCCGCGUGAGUGACGAAGGUUUUCGGAUCGUAAAACUCUGUUGUGAGGGAAGAACACGUGCCAAGUAACUACUGGCAUUUUGACGGUACCUCACCAGAAAGCCACGGCUAACUACGUGCCAGCAGCCGCGGUAAUACGUAGGUGGCAAGCGUUGUCCGGAAUUAUUGGGCGUAAAGCGCGCGCAGGCGGUCCUUUAAGUCUGAUGUGAAAGCCCACGGCUCAACCGUGGAGGGUCAUUGGAAACUGGAGGACUUGAGUGCAGAAGAGGAAAGUGGAAUUCCAUGUGUAGCGGUGAAAUGCGUAGAGAUGUGGAGGAACACCAGUGGCGAAGGCGACUUUCUGGUCUGUAACUGACGCUGAGGCGCGAAAGCGUGGGGAGCAAACAGGAUUAGAUACCCUGGUAGUCCACGCCGUAAACGAUGAGUGCUAAGUGUUAGGGGGUUUCCGCCCCUUAGUGCUGCAGCUAACGCAUUAAGCACUCCGCCUGGGGAGUACGGCCGCAAGGCUGAAACUCAAAGGAAUUGACGGGGGCCCGCACAAGCGGUGGAGCAUGUGGUUUAAUUCGAAGCAACGCGAAGAACCUUACCAGGUCUUGACAUCCCGCUGCCCGGUGUAGAGAUACGCCUUUCCCUUCGGGGACAGCGGUGACAGGUGGUGCAUGGUUGUCGUCAGCUCGUGUCGUGAGAUGUUGGGUUAAGUCCCGCAACGAGCGCAACCCUUGAUCUUAGUUGCCAGCAUUCAGUUGGGCACUCUAAGGUGACUGCCGGUGACAAACCGGAGGAAGGUGGGGAUGACGUCAAAUCAUCAUGCCCCUUAUGACCUGGGCUACACACGUGCUACAAUGGACGGUACAAAGGGCAGCUACACAGCGAUGUGAUGCGAAUCUCAAAAAGCCUAUCGUAGUCCAGAUUGGAGUCUGCAACUCGACUCCAUGAAGUAGGAAUCGCUAGUAAUCGCGGAUCAGAAUGCCGCGGUGAAUACGUUCCCGGGCCUUGUACACACCGCCCGUCACACCAUGGGAGUUGAUUGCACCAGAAGUGGAUAGCUUAACCUUCGGGGGAGCGUUCACCACGGUGUGGUUGAUGACUGGGGUGAAGUCGUAACAAGGUAACCGUAA
rnacentral:rRNA from 1 species